AGAGUUUGAUCCUGGCUCAGAGCGAACGCUGGCGGAAUGCUUAACACAUGCAAGUCGCACGGGGGCUUCGGCCUUAGUGGCGGACGGGUGAGUAACGCGUAGGAAUGUGUCCGAGGGUGGGGGAUAACGUUGGGAAACUGACGCUACUACCGCAUAUCUCCUGAGGGGGAAAGCAGUGAUGCGCCCACGGAGCAGCCUGCGUACGAUUAGCUUGUUGGUGGGGUAAAGGCUUACCAAGGCGACGAUCGUUAGCUGGUCUGAGAGGAUGAUCAGCCACACUGGAACUGAGACACGGUCCAGACUCCUACGGGAGGCAGCAGUGGGGAAUAUUGGACAAUGGGCGCAAGCCUGAUCCAGCAAUUCCGCGUGGGUGAAGAAGGUCUUCGGAUUGUAAAGCCCUUUCGUUGGGGACGAUGAUGACGUACCCAAAGAAGAG
rnacentral:rRNA from 1 species